UCCGAUAUGGUGUAGUGGUUAACAUCGUCCGCUUUCAUCUUUCAUAUAUAUAUUGAAGUAGAGGUUCCGGACAGCCCCGGGUUCGAUUCCCGGUAUCGGAA